ACAAUCAACUAGAAAAGCCCCAACUUUUUAAACAAUCCAUUUAACCAGUCCUUGAAGGCUAUAUUCUGAAGCCAAAAUCUGUCCACAUCUAUAACUUAGGUGGUCUCUGUCUUUGCUUCCCUUGGGGAUUCUUCCUGGUGUUCGUCUUGCAGGUGUUGUUGCAGCAGUGGUAAGUAUGGUUUUAUGUUUCUAGCUAGAGUCCACCAAGGUCCUUUAUCUGUGAAAAUAUAAGCGUAUCUCCUCCCCCAUACGAUUAACAAGAUCUUUUUAGAAAUUUCAAAAACUUAUUUGCAUACACAGUUCUAGCAAGCCUCUCCCCUGUGGACACUGCCUCUACUCCCCCUUUCUGUUGUAUAACAGGCUCUUGAGAGAUCUACAGGCUCUCCCAGUGAGGAGGGAUACUUGUGGUGUGUGCGUUUGCAUUAUGAAUAUAAAGGUAACAUAAAAUCAAAACAAUAUGGGGCAAGACAGUAGACUUACACUAAGCAAAAAUGAAUCAGAUACUAUAUGCAAUAUAGCAAAAGAAUUGUACUUUAUAAUCCAAUCAAGUAUAUUUUAACAGAACUUACAAUUAAUUCUAUUAAUACUUAGCUUUACUAAAAUAUCGCUAAAACGGAACAGGAAUUAAUCUUAACAAAAUUAAUUUAUGUAAACUCUAUCCUUACAGAAGCUCCAUCUAGCCAUUCCAUAUUAUUCAAAUUCUUAUUGAGAAGGUUAGGAGGCAGACAAGAAUCACAAGCAAUAAAAGUGUGGGUUAGAUACUUCCAUGGGUGGGUGAGAGCCAUCCACGAUGCUGGGGUGAUUAAGCAAAUCAUCCGGGAGGUCCUCAAUCAAGGAACACAAUUCCCUAUUCCCACCACCUGCUGCCAAUUUAGGAAACUCAUUGGUUGAUGGAAAAAUACCAUCCAAGAGAGCUUCAAGUUGGCCAUCCAGACCCACAGACAAGCUGGUUGCCAGUUUCCCACUGCACAAGAAUCUGUAUUCAAGGUGUUUUAGUGCCAAAGCAGCCGCAUAAAAGGACAUAAUGGAUUUUGUACUUUUGUAGACAUACUACUACAGUGGUGCCUUCUUUUGUAGGCAAUAGCUUGAAAUCUUCAGCUCUGCCAGUGCUUGAAUAACCUUGAAAAGGCCAGCUUUUCCUCUUUUGGAAGCAAUUUGAUUAAUGAAUUAAAGAUUAAAAUUCUACAGCUCCUUAUGUAUUUCUGGAGAUGUCUAUUUGUCAAGCACUGAUGAACAUUAUACCUUCAUUUCUAAAGUAUAAAUAGAAGUUCUAAUUGUGGCAUGAUGAUUGACAUUUUGUAGUGAAAAGCAGUAUUACACUGAAAGUGUUGAUGCUUUAAUCACAAUUUAAAUGUUGCACAAAAAAAUACUCAUUUCAGGUAGUGAUGUUACAGCCUUACACCAAUUAAAACAGUAAAUCUGUUGAAGCUAAAUAUAUCUUUCCUUCAGAUGAUAAAGCUGCUAUUUAUGGAUUUGAAGCUUUUACCAAUGGAAAACCCAUCACUGGAAAGAUAAAAUAUUAUUGUACUUUGCCUUUGAUGUAGUUCCUUCAAUCUCAAGGUCUGAAACCACUUAAUUAGUAAUGAAGAUGUACAAUGCUGAUCUUAGUUUUCCUCAUGUCUUUUGUUGUCACCACUUAGCAGUAUUUCAACGUAGUCAUGUCAUUUAAGAGAAUAUUGGCUAAGUUUUCUGUCUAUAGAGAUUAAAUGGCUUAUUUUGGAAAAAUCUUUCAUAGGCUAAAGAGUGGUGAAUGAAAAGAAUAGGUAAUAUCAAAAAGCUAUCAGUCAGGGUGAUGGAGCUUAGCAAAUGGACCAAGAUGCAGCAGUACUUUGAAUAUCAUGGCUUAGUGCCUACCAGAAAAUUUACAAUUCUCCAGUUACUGACUCCUUGCUGAGUCAUGUCUUUGUUGAGAAACUUCUUUCUACUAAAGCAUAUUUAGACCAUACAUUUGAUACCAUUCUUCAGGUUUUGCCAGAAAUUAAGGAAUUAUGAGAAGCUGGACAUUUCAUAUUAUUAUUAUUAUUAUCAAUUCAUUAUCAAUUCAACGCUUCAUCAUAAAAUAUCAAAUAGUAGCUUCUGUUUUAGCUUUUCGUUUCAGUGCCUCUAAACACUAAUCAAAUUAUUGUUUUGGAAAACAUGGGCUUUAAUGAGAUUAUUAAAUCUUGUUUCUGGUUUAUGUUUUGAGGAUUUCUUAGGAUAGUUUUGUAAUAAGUGCUGGAAAUUAGUCUCCAUGUUCUACAGUUGUGAUCUAAUCACCUAUUGCACUCAGUCAUUGCCCUGUGCUUUCAGAAUGGCUGUAGCUCCUUGCCUAUGCCAACUUCUGUGUCACUAUGGCAAUAGGAAAAAACAUUGAAUGAAAACAUGCAGGUUUGUUAAAACACAGUCUUAAAAUAACAUCUUGUUAAGAAGCAAAAGUUCCAUGCCUGGAGGAAUGUAGUUACACAAGAGACUUCAACAAGCUUAUGAUUGUUUUCCUUUUAAUUUCUCCUCUUUUGUUAGAGGAUAAUUGUUUGUAAUCAUUCUUGUCAUAAUGCAACUAAACCAUAAACUUAGGCUUGCUGUGAUUGGUAGAAGGCCUUGUAACUAUCUUUGAGGAUGUAUUUGCUCCUGUAGGACUUGGAAAAUUGACUUGCGUUGACAGAUCUUUUUGAGUUAUCUGCUGUGUCUGUGCUGCUGUGUCUCCUUUGGCCUGCACAUAUUGACCUCUGCAAAAUGUGAGGUAAUUCUACAACAUUAUGUGGUGUCUUGGGUCUUUUUUGUAUCUUGAUUGUAUAAUUAGACCUAUCAAAUUGCUUUUUAAUGCUGUUGUGGAAGAAGAGAAGCAAGGUCUGCAAAUUAAAGCUAAAAAGAAGAAAAAAGACAUGCAGUUUUACCAGUGAGGUUUGGAACUGUUAUCCAGGGAAAAUUAUGAACUCGCCUUCUCUGAAAUCCAAUCUGGCUGGAUGUUAUAAAGCUUUGCUUUAGAAAAUGAAUGUAAUGUGUUAUAGAGGAGAUCAUGCCAAAUGACCUUUCUAACCUUUUAAGCUAUGAAUAGCUGUAAUGAAUCAAGGUGGUUAUUCUCUGGGUAGCCUAGGAACAAAAAUUUCUCUAACAAGUUAGGUAUUCCCCACUUUUAUCUAAAGAGUUAAAAAGGACAGAAGACAUAGCUGGUCCUCAUGGCAUGCAGACUAAAUGUCAACUUUCCUGGAAUGCCAUUCAUGGCUUUUUUCUCUUUAUUUAUCAUAUUCCAUGGAUAUGGGUAUUGAGAUACCAUCUAAUAUUAAACACAUACAUAGUUGUACAGGUAAAGGUAAAGUUCAGUAUAGCCAUGCUUCUGCCUUGACAGUUCUGUUGUGUAUCUAAAAUGUAAGUUUUAUCCUAGAAAACACUUGUUUCUCAUCUCUUUCUCUUUACUGUUCAUUCUGCAAGCAGCUUGGUUCUCUGUUCUUCUCAGCUGAAAAGUUCUAUUGUACUUGAAGCCUUUCUUAUCUAAAAAAAUCUGUCUUCUUAUCUAAAAAUGCAUUGGGGAAAGCAAAUGAUAUUUUAAAGAACAUAAAAUGUAAAUGGAAACUGCACCUUGUAGGCUUUCUGUAACCUCUUUGGGAAUAGGCCUUGGGACUACCUCUAUUAAAUCUACUGUUGUCAUUCUCUGUCCUUACAAAAUAAUUAAUACUCACUAUAUUGAUAAAUAAAUAUUGUGAUGGGUUUUUUUCCUCUGCUAGAAAACAAACUGCCAGGCUGUAAUUAAAUUAUUUAACAUGGCUUUAUCUAAAUAUCUAGAUUUCUCAGGUGCACGUACCUCAAAAGCACAUAGAGAAGCAUCCCAACAAAAUGAAAGACAUGAUGCAUAACUUACACUGUUCAUGAUGUAAUAAUGAAUAUGCUAAAACAUCAUAAACAAAACCAGCUUAGUUUUGGUGCUUAAUGAACACACUACAUCUUCUAAAUUAAGGAGCUGCACAGAACAACACUUUGGUACUUUGUGAUCUGAUGAAAUGUAGUUGGAGACUGCACAAUGGCUUGCACUGAGGGAUCCAGUGGGUAUGGAACAUACUCCACACUUGUUCAUCCUUUGAAAAUAUUCAGAAGCAGGAGAUUCAACAGUACCAUAGGUAAUGCCUCAUGCUGCCCUUGCAAAUGAAGAAUGCUCCCUAGCAGUUAUACAGAACUAAGAGGUUACUGAGGAAAGCUGCAGAACUUUUCACAUAGAUGUUUUCCUGAGAAUUUAAUCAAACAUGCUAAGGGUGGAGCAGAUACACCUGAUUGUGUAGAGGACAUUGCCAGGAGGGAUAGCCCAAUGUCCUUCUGUUUCUAAGGUGCUCUGAAUCCUUGUUCUCAAGAUGGAAGAGACUGGCUCUUUUUAGUAAAAAUGCAAAGGAAAUAUUUGUACUACACUAUGAGAAGAGCUGGGAUAUGUGUUUCUUAAGAAAUAAAAUUAGUCUUAGAAAGAUUCCUUAAUAUAGACAAUGAUAAACUAGCUUCCA